AGAACAAAGUAGAGAGAACAAGAGCCAGCAGGGGCCAGAUGCAUCCCCCACUAACCGUGAGUAACUUUCAUUGUUGAGAAGAGCUGAGAAAGAGUGGGAGAAAGAAGGAAAGAUAAAAGAGAGAAACAAGAUGAUGGGUGAGGAAUAGGUUGGUCUGUAGACAGCAGAAUGUUAAAAGAGUGAGAAGAGAGAUAGAAGACAAAACCAAACUAAAACAAAACAAGAAAUGAAAAUGCAUAGUAAGGUGAAAAAGAGAGAAUUAAACAGAUUAGAGGAACAAAGCAGAGAAAUAAAAGAGAAAAUAAAGGAAAAGGCAACAGGAGACUAUGAGAGAAAAAGGGUAACAGGUGAGUUGAUAGAAAAGGCAAGCACAAGCCGACAGAAGUACAGAAAGAAACUGUGGAAUCACCAAUGAGGAGAGCAUAGGCAUAGCACUCUCAUUAAUCCAAAGUCUUCUUUAACGUCUGCCUUUUUCCAUGGUGAAAUAUAUCUGAGGCUUUUUAAAACUUACCUAAUUAACCUAGUCUGUUAAUCAAAUCAUUACAGUCAAAAGCUUCUAAUAUUUUAACGAUCACCUCCAAAGGGGAAGUAACUUUUUCGAGGGAAAAACAAACAAACAAACAAAAAACUGCAGGAACCAACAUGCAGGAGAGUAAACCAUGAGCAAUAGCAUCAUGGUGAGAGCUGUUUCCUGCACCCAGCUCUGCACUAUGAGAGAGAUGUGACAACAGUCAGAGUCUUUUGAGGUUCCCUUGUUCCACUACCCAUAGCACUUCAGGCCUCAUCCACUUCUUUUGCUCUAAGCCACCUACCUAUUCAUUUUCUGAUUGAAGUUGCAAAGACAACCAGGCUUUCCACCGUAGACAGAAGCCACAUAUUUCUAUAUGUGUUGUUGUUGUUGUUGAUGGUGGGGUUUUUUUUGUUUUGUUUUGGGUUGGGUUUUUUUUGUUUGUUUGUUUUCGGUACUGUCUUUUUAUCAGUCUUUAAUAUUGGUCUAUAUCUAAGAAUAGUAAUAAUAAAGGUAUAUGCAUGAGACUCAUGGAGAAUGCUGUACAAAUGUUUUCAUAACAAACAGUCCUUUUUAUGAUCCUUCUCCAUUUUUGCCUCCUUUUUUCUGGUGUCUGCAGGCAACAGGUGAGCUGUCUGAAAUUGCUCAGAAGCUUCUCAGGACUGAGGUGCGGCAGGGGUUGUGGAGGUAGAAGGCACUGGCAGAGCUGUGCUGGCAGCUCAGGGAUGCUCCUCACACUGGAUGAUUUGUGUACUCUGCCUGCCACUAUUCACUUCCACUCCUACACAUACAUGUAUCUGCUUGCCUGUGGCCCCCCUCAUCUUUUUGAAAAGUAGCAUGAUUACUUUCAUCUACCUGGCUGUGUGAGGGUGCUGAGUACAAAACUGCUUGGGUGGUGGGGGAUUCUCAGAGGUCUACAUCACUUGUACUUUUCUUUAUAAAACGUUCUGAGUUCUGACACAGAUAUGUGAUAUUGUGCUACUGCCUGCCUGUACAAAUACUAGUGUCUGAGAUUACCAGUGCAUUAAUUCAUAAAAUUGAAAUGUGCAUGCGUCUAUUCUUUUACACCCAUGAAUAUAUAUAUAUAUGCACUCAUGCUUUUACAUCUGAGAAUACAUUAAAACAUCUAAACUAUCUGUA